CAAAGAAAAAGGCAAACCCGUUGAAAAGCGGGGACGCAAAGCGAUGGGUCUAAGGCUUUUGCUAAGACUGCCAAGCUGCCAUA
rnacentral:ncRNA from 1 species